rnacentral:sRNA from 1 species
ACGGUUGUUAACCUUUUAUUAGCACCUGACGCCUAGGGUUUAAGUGCGUAAUCCGGUUUGCCCGGGUUUUGGGGUGGCUGCCGCCAUACCCAUUUGACGCCUCCCUGUUGAACUUCAAGAGCCGCGCGCAACCGCGGCUCUUUUUUU